UCCCUUGCGUUUUGGGGGGGAUGUACUAAGAUACUCUGAGCCUUGCACUUCAAGACUUAAAACUCAUUUUUCACCACCCUUCUUGUUCAACAAACCUUAGACAGCUGUGAAAGUGAUGUGAUGAUCCUCGCCCCACAUGAGACAGUGGGAUAAGCCCAGGAAUCCAGCCAGUGUUACCACUCAGGCACUACAGAGCUGUGAUGAAAACAGGUUUAAAUAAAUUCCACAGAGCAGACACUACAGGCACGGGUGCUGUCCAGGUACACUCGAACUCAUUAUUCAGGAUUCUACUGGAACUACUAUCUUCAGAUGUGAGAGAGAACUUGCACCUGCUAGGACUUAGUGUCCCACCACUGUGACAUCCCACUCUUAAGGGUAGGAUGUCACAAUUACACAGUUUUGUCUCAUCAACAGUUCAGCACCACGUGGAGGAAGUUCCCCUCUACCAGGAAGCACAGAGGUGGCAGUUAUUUAUCUUCAGAGUGCAGCCUGCUCUACAAACACCUGUCCAGGAAUGUGUCCAAUCCCUGUUCCACUGUGCAGCUUUGUGUCCCAACAGCAUCUCUGUGCUGUCAACUCUGAUACACUACUGAGAAGGAAGUCCCUCAAAAUUGGUGGAGGGGAUAAAAGACAGAAAUGUACAAAAGUUAAA